ACAGUGGCAGAGAGUGCGCCGAGUUGCGGCAGACCAGCGCGAUGACGACCCGGGGAGCGAGUAGCGGAGACUCGGGGCUCCAGCGCUCCUCGGGGAAAUAGCCCCAGCUCGGGCCCGGCAGGAGAACGAACAGCAGGCAAGUCCUUUGAACCUUUCAUCUGCUGUGACCCAUAAUGAUGCACCUGAUAUGCCUGGAUGGAGAAUGAGAAUAACAAUCAUCUUGAUUUACAUAAACAUUAUUUGCCAAUAAAAGGAAUAAUGUAAAUAAAAUGGGAUGGUGUAAUUGGCCAAUGCUGAGCAUUUUUGCUUAAGGUGCUGCAGUACCCCCUGGUGCAUGGAGUUGACGCACGUGUCCGCAAGUACAAAUUAAAAUUAAAAAGUACAA